CGAUAGGUGCACUUGCCUUUGUUGUAUUUUUAGUUAGUUUCGUGACAAUCAGUAUCAUCUUUUAAAUUAAGAUGUCAAACGAUCUGUGACAUAGAUUGCCAUGUUUCAAUUGUAAAGACCCAAUUUUGUUCGACCCUAAUAAAACAAAAAAAAAACAAAAAAAAAACCAAAACAAAUAAAAGUCCUAACAGUCCACUUACAAAGAAAACGACCUAAAUAUUACCCAAAUACAAAACCUAAAUACCCAAUCACCUAAGCCCAAGCCCAAAUCCCCUAAACUUAAAAUAGAAAACCCUAAUUCCUCUAAGUCUCUAGCUGCCGCCGCUCAUCUACCUUUGCCACGUCAACAGGUGCGCCGCCCGAGGUCUGCUCUCCUUUCACCGAAAUGGCAAGGCAUGGUUUCCCAUCGUCGAAAACCGCCACAGAUGCCUACACAAAAAAAGAAAGCAACAAAAUAGAGAAAACAAAAAAAACAAAUAUAAAAUGUAUGAUAUUCAACUAUAAAAGCCAAUGACAAAAAAAAAAC
rnacentral:lncRNA from 1 species